rnacentral:rRNA from 1 species
UACGUAGGUGGCAAGCGUUGUCCGGAAUCAUUGGGCGUAAAGCGCGCGCAGGCGGUCCCUUAAGUCUGAUGUGAAAGCCCACGGCUCAACCGUGGAGGGUCAUUGGAAACUGGGGGACUUGAGUGCAGAAGAGGAAAGCGGAAUUCCAAGUGUAGCGGUGAAAUGCGUAGAGAUUUGGAGGAACACCAGUGGCGAAGGCGGCUUUCUGGUCUGUAACUGACGCUGAGGCGCGAAAGCGUGGGGAGCAAACAGGAUUAGAUAUCCCUGUA